rnacentral:rRNA from 1 species
CGAACGGAGAGUUUGAUCCUGGCUCAGGAUGAACGCUGGCGGCGCGCCUAACACAUGCAAGUCGAACGGUUAAGGCCCCCCUCGGGGGGCGCAUAGAGUGGCGAACGGGUGAGUAACACGUGACCAACCCGCCCCCCCCACCGGGACAACCUCGGGAAACCGAGGCUAAUACCGGAUACGCCGGGGCCCCCGCAUGGGGGCUUCGGGAAAGCCUUGGCGGGAGGGGACGGGGUCGCGGCCCAUCAGGUAGACGGCGGGGCGAAGGCCCGCCGUGCCGACGACGGGUAGCCGGGCUGAGAGGCCGAUCGGCCACAUUGGGACUGAGACACGGCCCAGACUCCUACGGGAGGCAGCAGUGGGGAAUAUUGCGCAAUGGGGGAAACCCUGACGCAGCGACGCCGCGUGCGGGAAGGAGGCCUUCGGGUCGUAAACCGCUUUCAGCAGGGAAGAAGCCUGACGGUACCUGCAGAAGAAGCCCCGGCUAACUACGUGCCAGCAGCCGCGGUAAUACGUAGGGGGCGAGCGUUAUCCGGAUUCAUUGGGCGUAAAGCGCGCGCAGGCGGCCCGCCAAGCGGCCUCGUCGAAGCCGGGGGCUCAACCCCCGGAAGCGACCCGAACUGGCGGGCUCGAGUGGGGCAGGGGAGGAUGGAAUUCCCGGUGUAGCGGUGAAAUGCGCAGAUAUCGGGAGGAACACCGACGGCGAAGGCAGCCCUCUGGGCCUUCACUGACGCUGAGGCGCGAAAGCUGGGGGAGCGAACAGGAUUAGAUACCCUGGUAGUCCCAGCCGUAAACGAUGGGCGCUAGGUGCGGGGGGACGACCCCUCCGUGCCGCAGCCAACGCAUUAAGCGCCCCGCCUGGGGAGUACGGCCGCAAGGCUAAAACUCAAAGGAAUUGACGGGGGCCCGCACAAGCAGCGGAGCAUGUGGCUUAAUUCGAAGCAACGCGAAG